GAUUUGUUAGAUGAGUUUCCCAAACGCAGUUAUUCCUUGCAGCUAAUUUUCUUUUCGCCGUUAUUCACAGUCGCAAAUUUUCCCACUUUUUUAAUUUCCCUGUCUUACUAUUUCUCGGUUAAAAUUCAGACAAAAAAAUAUCAGAAACAGAAGCAAAGCGACUGUAAAAAUAAGCUGCAGAGGAAAAAUUAACUGCAG